rnacentral:lncRNA from 1 species
ACAGUGAAGCAGCCAGCUUGUGUUUACUCUCAACGCAAAAUGUUUUCCUUUGUAUAUCCAUACCAUCACCUCUUAUUUCUCAGGAAGUGACACAAAGUAACAGGCUUCACGAUGCCAUCAAUGUCCGUUUGACAGUAUUCAUAUCACAAUACACAAUCAUGUACUGUAAUUAUACAAAAUCCAAAGAAUAAAAUGUUACUAGUUACACUGGUUAAAAUGAAACUGACAACCAAAAAGAAAAGAAAACAAACAAAUCUCUGUCGGAAUCCAUAGAGACGCUUGACAAUAUUACAAAAAAAAGUAGCCAAAUAAUUGUCCUAGCAUGCUGCAGUUCAUUGCCAUAAUUUCGUAAAUUCCCAGCUCUUUGGGGGAAAGAAAGUGCGUUUUCAUAGCCUAUAGUUCUCAAAGAAAUAGCUUUUACGUGGAGGUGAGUCAACAGAAAAAGGAAUGCAAAGUUAGGCACCAAGAUUGCUCAGACAGCAACGGAGUCUAAAGAGUCGGACUUCAAACUCUUCCGAACCAGAUCUGGUUUGUUGAAAAAGAACCUGGACAGUGGCAUUAGUCCAAGAGGGCCAAGGAAGAAACACUUUACUGUUAAUAAGGAAGAAAACCAUCAAGAACUAGAACAAUUAAGACAAAUAUUUUUUCUACUCCACUUUGAAGCUGAAUUACAGCUUUUCAUGCUUGGAAAAGAGAUGCAGUUGAUCUGUGGGUAGGACCCCUCUCUCUUCCCUCAUCCACCCUCCCCGCUCCUGAUCCAGCAGCUUAAUGUUGGGUGUACAGAUAUCGCGGAUUCAAUUUCCUUAAAGUAAAAUUCCCAUUUCUUCAUGUGUGGCCAUGCCUCUUUUUAACAAUGAGGUAUAAUUUGAUACGAACAAUGCCUGUUCCUUCCUGGGCUAGGGACUUGGUCAAUCAUGUGGGCAGAAAACAAUUCAACUUUCUGAUAAAAUCACACACAUAAAAAAAGUAUUGCACUUAAAACAACAACAACAAAAACUCAGCCCAACCAGCAAAGGGCCAAUGAAACUCUUCGGAAGUGCUGUGCUUCCUGCCCUUUGCUGAGCAUCUGGACCUUUCUGGUGUUUGGUUGAAUUGGGUCCGUUAUUAGAUGUCCAGAAGUGAAAGAGUCCAAAAGACACUGUAGGCUCUUUAAGGCUAAGUCUUCCCGGUGCUUCUAUGAGAUAAAUUAUCUCCUUGGCCACAUACUACAAAGCAGGGGCUCCUUUUAGCAAAAUGGCUAGCAAGGCCCCCCAAAAACUCUGGAAGCAAGGGAGGAUGGGUACACAUCAUGUCCUGUCCUGUGAACAAGAGAGAGAGAGACACAGUAAGCAGCUUCGGGGAGCAAAGCCGCCCAUCAUCAGCUCUGUGGCUGAAGUACAGAGACUUCCUCUAACUCCCCCACUAGCC